rnacentral:rRNA from 1 species
CACGCCCUAAACGAUGUUAACUAGUUGUUGGGAAGUAAUAUUCUCAGUACCGCAGCCAACGCGAGAAGUUAACCGCCUGGGAAGUACGGUCGCAAGACUAAAACUCAAAGGAAUUGACGG